rnacentral:piRNA from 1 species
UCGUUUUGCCAAGCAAAGCCAUGGUCCC